GUUCGAUGCUUGUUAAGACAGAUGAGCUGCAGGCGGCUAGGGAUACACUAGGGACAGUGGCAGUUGUCAUGGUAAAUAGCCAUUUUAGGGGGGACUGUUGUGGAAAUAAGGUCUGCACAUAUUUCCUAGUUAGUAAAAAUGUCUAUUUACCCAUUUCACGAUAUGCUACAUAAAAAGCUAUACACACAUGUUAUAAUCAAGAUGGCUG